rnacentral:rRNA from 1 species
CGGCGGACGGGUGAGUAACACGUGGAUAACCUACCUAUAAGACUGGGAUAACUACGGGAAACCGGAGCUAAUACCGGAUAAUAUAUUGAACCGCGUGGUUCAAUAGUGAAAGACGGUUUUGCUGUCACUUAUAGAUGGAUCCGCGCCGCAUUAGCUAGUUGGUAAGGUAACGGCUUACCAAGGCAACGAUGCGUAGCCGACCUGAGAGGGUGAUCGGCCACACUGGAACUGAGACACGGUCCAG